UAAUUUAGAGUUCUACGAGUUAUACGUUCUGUUACAUAUGGUAGUCUAACAAUAUAUUGUGCCGUACUUCUAGCUAUUUAGUUAUUUUUGUAAUCUAUUUAAACAGAGUACUAUGCCUCUGUUUAUCAUGGAGGAAUACAUGAAUUAAUUCAUUUUUAUAAAAUCUUUUUCGCCAUUUUUCAUAUUCUCUUGUUGGUAUCAGAGCGGGUUCG
rnacentral:lncRNA from 1 species